CCCGGUCUCCCGCUGUCCAUCACCAUCACCAUCAGCAGCAGAGCGGCCGGAGGCGAGUGCGGCGGCGGCGGCCUCUUUCCUCCUGCUCCUUCUCCUUAAACAUGUUUCGAAACCCAUGGAUUUCUAGUUACCAUGUGAACCAUGAGCAGCCCUACGGCCCAGGAUUUGAAUCUAAAGCUCCCAACAAACUUUGCAGUUCAACCUCUUUGCCAACAGACGCCUUAAGUUUUCAGAGUGACUUCCCCUUGAAUGACAAGACCGCAUUGGUCAAGAGCGUUUCAGACACCGAUGCCAAACUUCUGGUUGUUCUUCCCAAGGGUGGGUGUCACUUCAGAGUCAGACGACACAGGAAAAACGGUGUUAUUUUCACUAUUUCUGAAUUACUCCUCUGUCUUUUUAGUUUCAGAGUUGAAGAAAUACUUCGAGGGAACUGUCACAAAGGAUUUGGG
rnacentral:lncRNA from 1 species